rnacentral:misc_RNA from 1 species
GUUGAUGAAUGGACGAGAAAUUUGAGGAAGGAGGGCAGACAGCUAGAUCGUCAGAUACGUGGUAUCCAACGUGAAGAGCAAAAGGCUAAGCGUUCACUUAAAGAGGCAGCAAAGAAGGGAGAUAAAGAUGUAUGUGUGAUAUUGGCAAAAGAGCUAGUAAGAUCACGGAAAGCUGUGAACAGGAUCUACGCAUCAAAAGCUCAAAUCAAUUCAGUUGUAAUGAGCAUGAAAAGCCAACUAGCCAUUAUUAAAAUUAGCGGCACCAUAGAGAAAAGCACGGAAGUGAUGAAUUCCAUGCAAGCAUUGGUAAAGCUUCCAGAGAUUAAUGCUACCAUGCAAGCUAUGUCCAAGGAGAUGAUGAAGGCUGGCAUCAUUGAAGAGAUGUUGGAGGACACAAUGGAAUCACUCGAUGACCAGGAGGAACUGGAGGAGGAGGCACAGGAGGAGGUUGACAAGAUUCUGUUCGAGCUGACUGCAGGUGCACUGGGUAAUGCACCAGCUAAAGUCACAGAUUCGUUACCUGUACUGGAACCACAGGCUGCUGCUGCUGAGGCAGAAGGGGAGGAUGAUGUGGAGGACAUGAAAGCAAGGCUGGAGGCAUUGAGAAGCUAGUCUGUAUUUUGCAUGCAACAGUUUAAAACUGUAAAUAUAAACAAUUUUAGUGCAGCUAUCAUUCACAUUCAUCUCUACUACAGCUGUUACUAAUGUACAGGGAAACCCAAUAUAAUAUUGUUUGGGCACAGAUUGCAGGUAGUCAGCUUUAUGCCCAACAAUGAAUAGUAGGGUCUGCCCUGGGUAAACCUUUAUAACAUUACAGUAGUUCCAACCAGCAGUAACAAUGUAUUUAACCAAUUAUGUAUCAUAAGUUGAGGUUGUGAUAUUGCAUUAGGGCAAGUAGAUUAACCAACUCGAGCUGAAAUGUUACAGCAGACAUAUCACACGUAUAUUUUGCAAAACAGAUUGAUGACCACUUAAGAAGUGUUUGGGCAAGUUUAUAAGUUGGCAGCUGUGGAAUGGCUUUAAUUUUUACAUCGAGUUUGUACUACUUUUUCACUUUCCGUAUUCAUAGUAACAUUUGCAUCCUGCCUGAUAAUAGGCUGACUAAGCAUCAGUAGGUAGUGGUGAUGCGAGUGGUGAAUGAAAGGUUGGUAGAAACGAUGACAGUUACUUUCCAACUUGGUGAGUCGCACAGUUCUAUUAAGGUACCGAUAAUGCUAUUGGGACAUUCUAUAGUACAUAGGUGAAGUUGAUUGCAGAGAAAUGUGCAUGCCUUUUAAUGCAUUUACAAAUGCAUGAAGUUCUACAUCAGACCAAAAAUAACUACACUUUCAUUACAUAGCUUUAAGGGAUGCCUAAAAUCGUAUGUAUAUAGAUUUGUUUAAGAGAUUUAUAUGAUCUAAUGGUAAAGCUGUGGAUUUUAGCAGCAGAGAAAUGGAUGCUUGAAAUUGC